AGGGACAGGGCCUUGGCCACUGCCACUUGGAGUGGAGGCUGGGGUCCUGCUCCCUGUCCAGUACCUGCACAGGAGGCCUUUUCUCUGUCUUGGGCUCUCCCACUCGCCUAGAUCCUUCCUGGUCACUUCUGAGCCUCCAGAAAUGUUUUCUGUCCCCCAAAGUCUCCUCCUCCAGGAAGCCUUCCUUUCCUGUCUAGACCAGUUUGACCUGCUGAGCGUUCCCCUGCUUUUUACCCCUUCCAGGCUCACUCCUGUAGCUUUGCCCUUGAACUUCUGAGCCUUUAGUGAGUACAUGUUGGCGAGAGCACAGCCUCCUUCCUCCCUUGCUCACAGUUUUUGAGGGCGUCUCCCUCAUCAGACUCGGGGCUCCCUGAGGACAAGGCAGGGCCUCUCUUCAGGCUGGGGGGGGCCUCCUGGUGUUGGAAGCUUCCCUCUAACCUUGCCUCUGCAUGCAGGAGGCCCUCCCGACAUUGCACACAAGAGGGGACCGAGCUCCUGGGCGGUCACCCCUGCUGGCUGUAUGCCUUGCGGGGGCACUCGUCUUGCUCCUCGUUUUCCACCAUCUUCGUGUCCUUUCCAGAUCCGUGGCAGCGGAUUCUAGCACUACGGAGAAUGAGGGAGCACCGAGGCCCUCUACCUGGGAAGGAGGAGCACAUAAUGGAGCCUUGGGCCUGGAAGCUGAUCCGCUCCUGAUGGCAGGCACCUGGUGCCAGCACCCCACCCUGGCACUGCCUGGCUCCCCAGAGGACCAAAGCCUGAUGUAUCCCCAAGGUGCCUGGCUUGGUGCUGGGUCUUGAGACUUCCCUGAAGGAAUCUACAUGGCAGCCAACUCAGCGACAACCUGGUGACACUGUUGCUCUGAAGAAAGGCUAAAGCAGGAACUAAGCCAACAUAGCCCCUACCCCUAGUCAUCUAUGGCAUGUGUUGUGUGAUUUACUGCUCUUUCUCUCCUUCCUUCUUUCCUUCCUUCCUGCCUUCUUUCUCCAACCCUCCCCACCCUGGCUAGGGGGAUAGGAUAAACCCAUUUCCCUAUUCCUUUCUGUUUGACUUUAGCCAAAGGACAGUAGAUUUGCAUUCUCUGAGAGUUUGUUUCAUGCAGGGGAGUAGGCAUGGGAGACACGGAAGGGAAUAACAGACUCUAGGCUUUGCUUAUGCUCGCUGUGUCCAUGUAUCUCCCUACAGCCUGGGAGGUUAUCACAGUGGCUCCCAUUAUACAGAUGAGGAAACAGGCUCAGACAGACAAAGUGACUUGCCCAAGGUCCAAGGCUUGGACCUGUGAACGAAGAUUGGGUGUAGCCUGUCUGGCUUUUUCCUCUGCGUGCUAUGGGGGAGGAGGGUGGAACAGGGGAGCUGGUGGGGGCGUUUCAUAGGGAGGGUUCACCAAGCCGGUGUCUUUUCGAAAAGGACAGAGGUCCUGGCCACCCAGGGAAGAGAGGAAGCAGUUUUCUACCUGCUGGGAUUUGAGGGGUUCCUUGGAACCACUAACACUCAGGGUUUCAUGCUGGAUUUCUUUGAAUUAAGGAUCACGCUCCCUAGGAGCCUCUAAGAACACAUAGACCCCUGGAAGAUGGGAUGCUGUGUAUCUGUGGUCUCAGCUGAAGUGUUUGAUGGAACAGUUACAGAGCCUUAAAGCUUAGGGAGUGUGACCUCACGCUCUCACCCAGGAGAAGCCUGAGGUCCAGAAGAGGGGGCUGACUUGGCCAAGGUCACACAGCAGGCAGCAGAUUCGACUUUUCCUCCCAGUGCGGUUUCCAAUCUCCCACGCCUGUGGCAGGCAGGCAGGAGGGCCCUGGGUACCUGAUGCAGAUAGGAGGGGGCAGAGCUGGAGAAAAGGUCUUUCUGCUUUGAGCUCUGUCCCAGCCGAGUGGCCCUGUGCUUGUCACAGGCUGGUGUCCUCUGCUCUCCUCCUCUGGCCUACCCCAGGCAAACAACAGCAGCACUCAGUGUUGAGCUGAACCUACCUCCGGUGUCUGCUUGUUUGUUGAAAUACUCUGGCUGAGACAUGCUGUCCCAGAGGGCGGGGACAGCAGUGCGGGGCUCACCCCCAUGAGGGAGUGGCCUUGUCCCUGUGGGCUUUGGCUGGGGAUGUUUCGGAAGAAGCCCUAAUCCCCUGCUCUGCCUAGCCUCAAAGUUUUUGUCACCCUGGGGAGCCUGCGAGAACUGCAUGCGCCAGCUGCGCCCUCCAGACGUCACUUCCCAGCCUGUUCCGUAUUCCUGCUCGGCUCAGCCGCCUAGACUCCUGCUCUUCUGUCAAGACAAGUGUCACCUCCUCCAGGAAGACUUCCCUCACUCCCAGCAAUCAUGUGCCCAUCUCUGUUUUCAGUUUACUCUUUGGUUCUCCUCCAUAUAGGAAGCCCCAUGGGUUUAUGGGCUGAGUUUCAUAUUUGCUUGUGGAAUGAACGUUCUGUGCCACAUCCUGCAGCAGGUACCUCCUGAUGUCCAUUCCAGCCACUCUGACUGCUCUACCGCAGUAACUUCCUGACACUUUGUGGCUCUCUCAGGGCCUUUUUCCCCUCUUACCUUCUUGGGUAGCUGUGAGCAGCUGUCUGCAACUCUCCAAGGCAGGUAUUAUCACUCCUGUUUUACAGACAAGGGGAACUGUGGGUCAGAGAGGCUGAGUAACUUGCCUAAGGUCACACAGUUAAGGAGUGGCAGUAUCACUUGGGUCCACUGGGAACCAGAGUCCCUGCGCUUUUCACUGCCCUACUUAGGUGUCCCCGUAUCGCCUAUAAUAUCAGCACCGUGCCUGGUGCCUAGUAGACCUUGGGAAAGAUCCAUAAAUUGGAAUAAAGCUCAGCUCCCAGGCACAGCCCAGGGUGAGAGGGAAAAUGCAGCUUUAGGACCUUAGCUGCCGCCUCUGCCACCACCUUUAAAGCAGAGGGACUCCCUUCAAGACUGAGUGGGGGUGUGAACAGGGGCAGCAAGGGGCAGAACGAGGUGGGCAGGUCAGACUUUGAGGGGGAGCAAAGACCGGGGUGUCAGGAAGGGGACAUGCCUGGGGCUCUCAGGGAGAAGCAAUCCAGGGGGACGGCCUGAUGUUCCGUGAUUCAGCAGAGGCCCAUGGUGGCGGGGCAGAGAUGCAGCUGAUGAGGCCUGGGGGUGCUGUGGAUGGGAGUGGUCCAUAAGACAGUGACCCUACCCUGUCCCUUCUGUCCCCUCUCCUUCUUCCCUCCCUUUUUCCUGACUGUCUCCUCUUGGGGAGUUAACUUCUUGGGCUUCCUCUGCUCUGCUCUUGUACUCCAGUUGGCAUCAUUAUCCAUCAUUACCCCCAAUCAGACCUCCAGAUCCAGAUGGGAAUAUGAUACUCGUGCUGGAAAAAGAGGGCCCUCUUCCUUGCUUGUGCUUCAUUUCCCCAUGGCUUUAUUGCAAAGACCUAGUGAGAGAGAGAGAAAGUUUGACCCACAGCCAGACAGAGAAUCGAGCAGAACCAACCCAAUUCUCUCUCCUUCUCUUCAACAGCCUCUAUCCCACAGCCCUCCCUGCGGAUCCGCCCUGUGUCCUGCUAGGCGCCUGGGGCUUGGAGGAUGGAAGGAGGGAGAAACUUUUCUUCCAUCACAGAGAAACCACUUGGAGAAAUGUUUAGACAACAGCAAACCUCAGCGACUCUCUCCUGCCUCCCUCUCCCUGCUCUGGAGGGGCCCUGCCUCUCCAUCCAUGGGCUUGGAGGGGACAGCCCCUGCCCGCAGAGAGAGACCGUCCCUGGGACAUCAGAGGUGUUAGGACAUCAGGAAAAAGUGCAACUAGUGUGCCUUGGGCCCCAUCGCUGCUUCCUUUGUCUGAGGCCACUGCUGGCUCCUGGCCACCUUUCAUGUUCCUCUUCACCCACCCCUGCCCCCUUCUCGACUCCCCCUCACCUGGAACACCUUUCCCUUCCUCUUUGGCUCCUUGAACUGCCUCAGAGCCAUAGGAGAAGGCUGUGCUGGCCAUGAGGUGGGGUCCUCCGAGGGAGGCUGAGGUUGCCCCCCACCAUAUGAUCUCUGUCUUGGCUGCUCUCUGCUCCAUAUGCCCCCAGCCUGGCCAUGUUCCUGGGUGACCUUGGGUCCCUCUGUGCCCUUGGGACUCUCUGCAGGGACAGUCUGCUCUGAUAUUCCCUGACCUGAUGGGAGGGGCCUGCAGAGAGAGGGUUAGGAAUUAAGCUCAUUGGAGGAGAUCAAAUCCACGGGAAGAGAAGAUGCUAUAGAAACACCAUGUGGUCUUAAGAUUGUUGACUUGUGUUCCUUGGUCUGUGUAUUUCUGGCCCCCAAUUUUGAAGACUCAGGUGCGUGGACCUCUCGGUGUGAUGAUACCCCAUGAGGCUGGGUCCAUAACAAGGUAGUAUUGUGAAAGCUGGUGACACCUCAUUGGGGGAUGGGAUGGGAUCCAGAGUCAACCCCCCUCCCAAGUCAGCAGCAGGCCGUGGCUCUGAAAUGAAGGGUGGAGAUGGGAGACUCCUCUUCAGGCGGGCGAAGGUGCUCAGAACCCCUCAGGCCAGGCUGCCAUUCUGCUCCCUCAUUUCCCUGGUUCCCUGAGCAGAGGCUACAGAAGUUGCUGGAACACACUUUGCUCAGGGUAAGGGAGAGCUCUAUGGCUAUUAAGUGGCGAUUGAUGGCCAUCCUUCCUGGGAACCCCUGUGUCUUCCUCUCAACUUCAGGGUCCUUUCUCAAGACCUCCUCUUCAAGCCUCUCCAGGGGCUGAGGAAAGCUGGGAUGAGAAGGGGUACAGAGGAGGGGGCCAGAGUGAGCCCAGGUGCUGAAGCCGGGCUCCUCUGUCUUGGGCUCAGCUGGCCUCGGUGCAGGAAGGAGGCCGGGGCUCCCUGCCAAGGUGCAUGCGUCUUGUGCUCUGGGGGUGCUAGAGGUGGACCAGGUCCGACAGGGAGGGUGUUUAGGAUCUUUGCUUCCAUGUUCCACGCGGCAACUUGGAGCGUGGAGACUUGGUGCAGAGGCCUGCCUGAGAGGGGGCCCUGAGCCAGCAAAUAAACAUUUACUAACUGUAAAAAGACCUUGUCCCUGCUGCUGGGGAGCCUGCCAGGUGGUGGAGACGAGACUGGAGGCAUGAAUGAUGGAGAGGGAAGGAUGGGGUGGCGGCUGAGCCGGCCCCUCUGCUUGUAGGGGCUUCGGGACACCCCUCCUGUGAAACUGGGGUACUAAGGGGGUAAGCUAGUGCCCUGAUCAUGUGCUGAGACUGGCAGCUGGCUGAGCAACUCCUUGGAUCCUUUUGGUCAACCUGGGGGCAGUGACUGGCUCCUGUUCUCAGCCUUGCUCCCAUUCUCCGCCCAGGCCUUCACAGAGGCUCCAUCAGCUCCAGGCCAGGGCCUGGCUAGAUCUGGAUGAAUAAUGAGACUGGUCGGUCCCUCUCUUCCCACAGGUAUCAGCCCCCCCACCCCUACCCACUUUGUUCCCUGGGGGAGCCUGGGAGCUGCUGGGUCAAAGCCCAACCAGGAAUUUUUCCAGGCUGGUUCCUGUAUGUGAGGGAGAGUUGGGGGGCCUUUGAGGGGGGGCAGUUAGGGAAGACAUGGGGAGUUGGGGGAGAGGCUUUGAAGGAAGGGAGAGGAUCCAGGGGAAGGGAGGAGAGGCUGUCAGCUGUGAGAAGGAGGCAAGGGAUCCUGGAAGUCUGGGGGCUGCUGAGGAGAACUCUCCAGUUCUGUUCAGAGGAUGAGCUGUGAGCCUGGACUGGGGCUGAUAGAAGCUUUGGCCCCCGGCCUGGUGGGAGCUCCGGGCAGCUGGCCUACAGACGUUCCUUAGUGCUGGUGAGUAGGUUUGAAUCAUCACUCAGGCCCUGGCCUCCAUCCGCCCCCACCAGCCCCCUGGCCUCAGUUCCCUGGCAACAUCUGGGGUGGGGGGGGGAGGCAGGAACAAGGGCCUCUGUCUGCCCAGCUGCCUCUCCCUUUGGGCUCUGCCAGACUCGGCAGUGCAUACGUGGGCUCCAACAGGUCCUCUUCCCUCUGGGCCACUGACUAACCCCAGAGCCACACAGCUUCCCGCUCUCUGCCCCCCAAACUUGGUGCCAAAUACUUCUACCCAGGGGAAUCUCCCCAAACACUUCCCAAAGGACUCCACUCACUCCAGCCCAUUGGCUGCAACUCACUCUGAUGUCAGCAGGCCAGAUGAAGGCUCCAGAUGGGCACCCUGUCCAAGAUGGAUACAUCGUGCCCCCUGUGCCCAGCUCCGGGCUCUGUGCACAUGUGGCCAUUAUAGUCCCAAACAUGCCACUGUUUGAGAGAUCAGAAACGGGGCGUCAGGGGUAAUGUCCCUUUACCCUCUUCUGAGGCCUCUUGAGCCAGAGCUGGGGUGUGCAGACGGUAGUCACUAGGGGGCGCUCAGCCACCACAGGGAAGCUGGGUGAACUUGGCGAGCGGCGUCUGCGUGAGAGUGAAGACGCGUGUGUCUGGGUGUGUGUGGGUAGGACUCUGAGAGCGCUGGAGGUGGGAGGCCAGAGAUCGCCCCAGGAUUCCAACAGAUCUGUACGUCUCUCUCUUCACCUGUCCCUGUCCAACUUCCCCAAACCCCUAUUCUCUCCAAUAUUCCCAGCGUAAAGGGAAUGGCUCUCGAGCCCUGGCCGCACAUAACCUCACUUUUCUGUACCCUCCCCCCAAAUACCGCGCGGUCGUGUGCCUCUCCGGGCAAAGGGAGGCGGAUAGGUCAUGUUGAGGCUGUGACCCUUGGUGGGGGUCGAGCUUCCCUUCGCUGGGGUGAAAUGGGGGCCCAGGCUUCGUUCGGUAUCCCUAGGGAAAGGCAGCGCCAGGGGUCGGAGCCGCGCGCGGAGGGGACGGACUCCAGGGUUGAGGCUGGGCCUGUCCCCGCCCCUGGGCGUGUCGGGGGCGUGCCGGGGCGGGGCCAGGCCUUCUUUUUAGUCAGCUUCUAGCGGUGAAGAGCGCAGAGGCUUGGGGCAGCCGGGCUGCUGGGAGGCCGCGGCACUGGGGGCGAGAGGAGCCGGCGGCAGCGGCGCUCGGUCGAGAGACGCAUCCGCAAGGCGGACGAGCCGGCGGGGUCACCAGCUUGGGGGUCUCCGCGCUGGAAUUUGAUAUUCAUUUAUCCAGGGCUCACCCUCCUCCUUUUUUUCGGAGACAUUUUUGGAAAACCGUAUUCUUUUCCGUUUUAAUUUAUUUUUGCUUUCCAUUCCCCGCUAAAUCGGGCCGAUCGUUUGGGGAGAUUGCUCCUUUACUCCCCCAAAUCACUUCGGAUUUUGGAAA